rnacentral:lncRNA from 1 species
GCAGUGGUACAUCCCUGAUCACCUAAACCUUCACAUUCCUCUUCCAACCACAGUUUUAACCAUCAUAACCAUGCACUAUGUUCUACCCUCCAGGGUCCAUCAGGUCCACAGGGUCCUAUUGGUUAUCCUGGUCCUCGUGGUGUCAAGGGUGCCGAUGGUGUCCGUGGUCUCAAGGGGUCAAAGGGAGAGAAGGGCGAGGAUGGUUUCCCAGGUUUCAAGGGAGAUAUGGGCAUCAAAGGAGACCGGGGUGAGCUUGGCAUGCUUGGGUCCCGUGGAGAGGAUGGUCCUGAGGGUCCUAAAGGCCGAGGUGGCCCCAACGGAGAAUCAGGUCCCCUUGGUCCUGCUGGAGAAAAGGGUAAACUGGGCGUUCCAGGAUUACCAGGUUAUCCAGGAAGACAAGGACCAAAGGUAACUAAGCAUCACUCUCACCACAAUAAGGGAUGCUUUUUUGACUGUGAUUUUUUCUGAAUUUUCUGAAUACUGUGGCACAACACAACAGACCAAAACCUUCAAUAAUUUCACAUAAAAUGUACAAUAAACUGAAUAGUUGGAAACUGUUCAUAGUAAAAACACUUAUCUUUUUAAGAUAACCCAUUGUAGUGCAGGACCAGUACAGCGUGACAGUCAAAGGAGAUAAGUGUGAGCUGCCUUCCUGAGGAGCAGGAUGGCUUUAGUGCUGAUCAUUUAUGCAAUACAUGUUUAACACCAUGCUUUAAUGUAAUACUUUAAAGUGACAGUUCUUGAAAUGAAGCAUGCCUAAUAUUAUUUUGAAAGAUGGUAACUGUAGAAAUAUUGGUACGUCUUUCUGAAAAAGGCACCAUUUCCAAAGGUUUUAUAAUCAGUAACUAAUAGCUGUAUUAAUGGGCAAUACAUAAUUUAAUGCUUUAUAGAUCAUAUAUGAAAGGCCUUUACAAAGAACAACUUUUGAGUUGCCAGGUUGUAAUAAAAACCUUUGGCUCGUGUUUAUCCUCCAGUGUGACAUCUGUUUUGUCUUUUUAGCUCUUCAAUUAAUCAGAAAGACUCUAAUGGACCACUUAUCUUCUGGGAAGAACUUUUUGAUCAAAAUACAUGCUGUUAACAGCAUAUUAUUUUAACUGCAUUCUUAAUGGCUCUUUAGAAAGUGAGACACUAACAAGCAUUACAAAUAUGUAUUACAAGCAUAUUAGCGAAUAGAAGUUAAAGGAAUACUUUCAAUCCUGGCAUCCCAUAAAUGUCAUCUUAUUAAUUAUUUAUAACUGGUCUGUGAAUAAUUAGUAAAUCAUUUAUUAACCAUUUUUAAAGUCAUUGGUAAUUACGUGACUCCUUAGUUAAGGGCAUCUAAUUGGAAAAUUGUACACAAUUUUUCAUGUCAAUUCUAAACUAAUAAUACUCCUGAUGCAGCAGCUCGCUUGUGUUUCUUGAAAUGAAGACACACCAUAAACACUGUUUCUAUCUGCCCUCCACCACCCCAUAAAAAAGAAAUGUAAGCUAUAGCUGUGAUUGUCCUGGAAGAUAACAGUGC